UUCCCUGUGGCUCAGUUGGUAGAGCAUGGUGUGUGCAACACCAGGGUUGUGGGUUUGAUUCCCACGGGGAAU
rnacentral:tRNA from 1 species